rnacentral:rRNA from 1 species
UACGGGGGGGGCAAGCGUUGUUCGGAAUUACUGGGCGUAAAGGGCUCGUAGGCGGCCAACUAAGUCAGACGUGAAAUCCCUCGGCUUAACCGGGGAACUGCGUCUGAUACUGGAUGGCUCGAGGACAGGAGAGGAACGCGGAAUUCCAGGUGUAGCGGUGAAAUGCGUAGAUAUCUGGAGGAACACCGGUGGCGAAGGCGGCGUUCUGGACUGUUUCUGACACUGAAUAACGAAAGCCAGGGGAGCAAACGGG